rnacentral:rRNA from 1 species
UACGGAAGGCAGCAGUGGGGAAUAUUGCACAAUGGGCGCAAGCCUGAUGCAGCCAUGCCGCGUGUAUGAAGAAGGCCUUCGGGUUGUAAAGUACUUUCAGCGGGGAGGAAGGCGGUGGAGUUAAUAGCUUCACCGAUUGACGUUACCCGCAGAAGAAGCACCGGCUAACUCCGUGCCAGCAGCCGCGGUAAUACGGAGGGUGCAAGCGUUAAUCGGAAUUACUGGGCGUAAAGCGCACGCAGGCGGUCUGUCAAGUCGGAUGUGAAAUCCCCGGGCUUAACCUGGGAACUGCAUUCGAAACUGGCAGGCUAGAGUCUUGUAGAGGGGGUAGAAUUCCAGGUGUAGCGGUGAAAUGCGUAGAGAUCUGGAGGAAUACCGGUGGCGAAGGCGGCCCCUGGGACAAAGCUGACGCUCAGGUGCGAAAGCGUGGGGAGCAAACGAGGGAUUAGGAUAC